CGUAGUCGAUGGGAAACAGGUUAAUAUUCCUGUACUUGGUGUUACUGCGAAGGGGGGACGGAGAAGGCUAUGUUGGCCGGGCGACGGUUGUCCCGGUUUAAGCGUGUAGGCUGGUUUUCCAGGCAAAUCCGGAAAACCAAGGCUGAGGCGUGAUGACGAGGCACUACGGUGCUGAAGCGACAAAUGCCCUGCUUCCAGGAAAAGCCUCUAAGCAUCAGGUAACAUCAAAUCGUACCCCAAACCGACACAGGUGGUCAGGUAGAGAAUACCAAGGCGCUUGAGAGAACUCGGGUGAAGGAACUAGGCAAAAUGGUGCCGUAACUUCGGGAGAAGGCACGCUGAUAUGUAGGUGAAGCGACUUGCUCGUGGAGCUGAAAUCAGUCGAAGAUACCAGCUGGCUGCAACUGUUUAUUAAAAACACAGCACUGUGCAAACACGAAAGUGGACGUAUACGGUGUGACGCCUGCCCGGUGCCGGAAGGUUAAUUGAUGGGGUUAGCGGCAACGCGAAGCUCUUGAUCGAAGCCCCGGUAAACGGCGGCCGUAACUAUAACGGUCCUAAGGUAGCGAAAUUCCUUGUCGGGUAAGUUCCGACCUGCACGAAUGGCGUAAUGAUGGCCAGGCUGUCUCCACCCGAGACUCAGUGAAAUUGAACUCGCUGUGAAGAUGCAGUGUACCCGCGGCAAGACGGAAAGACCCCGUGAACCUUUACUAUAGCUUGACACUGAACAUUGAGCCUUGAUGUGUAGGAUAGGUGGGAGGCUUUGAAGUGUGGACGCCAGUCUGCAUGGAGCCGACCUUGAAAUACCACCCUUUAAUGUUUGAUGUUCUAACGUUGGCCCCUAAUCGGGGUUGCGGACAGUGUCUGGUGGGUAGUUUGACUGGGGCGGUCUCCUCCUAAAGAGUAACGGAGGAGCACGAAGGUUGGCUAAUCCUGGUCGGACAUCAGGAGGUUAGUGCAAUGGCAUAAGCCAGCUUGACUGCGAGCGUGACGGCGCGAGCAGGUGCGAAAGCAGGUCAUAGUGAUCCGGUGGUUCUGAAUGGAAGGGCCAUCGCUCAACGGAUAAAAGGUACUCCGGGGAUAACAGGCUGAUACCGCCCAAGAGUUCAUAUCGACGGCGGUGUUUGGCACCUCGAUGUCGGCUCAUCACAUCCUGGGGCUGAAGUAGGUCCCAAGGGUAUGGCUGUUCGCCAUUUAAAGUGGUACGCGAGCUGGGUUUAGAACGUCGUGAGACAGUUCGGUCCCUAUCUGCCGUGGGCGCUGGAGAACUGAGGGGGGCUGCUCCUAGUACGAGAGGACCGGAGUGGACGCAUCACUGGUGUUCGGGUUGUCAUGCCAAUGGCACUGCCCGGUAGCUAAAUGCGGAAGAGAUAAGUGCUGAAAGCAUCUAAGCACGAAACUUGCCCCGAGAUGAGUUCUCCCUGAGACUUAGAGUCUCCUGAAGGAACGUUGAAGACGACGACGUUGAUAGGCCGGGUGUGUAAGCGCAGCGAUGCGUUGAGCUAACCGGUACUAAUGAACCGUGAGGCUUAACCUUACAACGCCGAAG
rnacentral:rRNA from 1 species